UCCGAAAGUGUAAUACGUCCUAUCGACGCUAGAUAGAGCUACGAUCUCGUUUUGCUAUCGUAACACCACCUAGCGAUCGAUUUCUUAACUAUUACUUCUAAUCGAUUACUCGAAAGGUUAUUUACCUUGAUUAAUACUACGAUUAUAUGAUCCGCGUGUACGUUGGAACAAUACAUUUUUUAUGACUAUAUCAAAUUCCAACAUCGGCCUUUUUCUCAUGCAUCUCAAUAAUAUCGGUCAAUUUAAUCGGUGCGAAUAAUAUUUAU
rnacentral:misc_RNA from 1 species